GCAGUCGACGCGAAAGGGAGCUUCGGCCCUGAGUAAAGUGGCGCACGGGUGAGUAACGCGUGGAUAAUCUGCCCUGUGAUCUGGGAUAACACUUCGAAAGGGGUGCUAAUACCGGAUAAGACCACGGAGUCUUAGGACUCUGCGGUAAAAGGUGGGGACCUUCGGGCCUACCGUCAUCGGAUGAGUCCGCGUACCAUUAGCUAGUUGGUAGGGUAAGAGCCUACCAAGGCGACGAUGGUUAGCUGGUCUGAGAGGAUGAUCAGCCACACUGGAACUGAGACACGGUCCAGACUCCUACGGGAGGCAGCAGUGGGGAAUUUUGCGCAAUGGGGGAAACCCUGACGCAGCAACGCCGCGUGAGUGAUGAAGGCCUUCGGGUCGUAAAGCUCUGUCAGAGGGGAAGAAGUGUGCGGGUGCUAAUAUCAUCUGCGCUUGACGGUACCCUCAAAGGAAGCACCGGCUAACUCCGUGCCAGCAGCCGCGGGUAAUAC
rnacentral:rRNA from 1 species